UCAAAAACUUGACCAAGAAAGAACAGGGUCAGGUAUAAGCGCAUGUCUAACAAGCGCACUGUUGUCCCACAAAUGCAUACUUUAUGUUUUAAGGCAUUGUAUGGGACCUUAGCAACAAUAUCCAAGGGGCGGGGCAGGAGUUGGAGGACAGGUUCAUUGCAAAGAACGUAGUCAAGUUCACAAUUUGGCUAAGAAGUGUCUGAAGCAAUGAGCAUGGUGAUGACACAGGUGCAUUUACUGUUUGUAGGAUUUGAAUACAGAAUCUUGGUAUUGGAAGACAAACAUCUUAACACAUCCUGGCUGCCAGCAACGAGUAUUCUCGUCCGACAGGGUGUUGCUGAGGGCACCAGGGACGACUAUACUCAUCGUAAUCGGGACUGACUGUGUUAUCUGGAACCUCGGGGAUAGUCCGAUAAGUUGUAUAGACACAGCGUACUGACCUAUUCAUGCAAACACAUUGAAAAGGACACUGGAACCUCUGAGCCAACAAGUCUGUCGCUUGGAAUAUCGUAAUGUAGACAACAAGUAAUAGUUUGAAAGUUUCCAUUUUAACUGGUUGACAGUUUAAUACACUCUGAUGCUACUCUCAAAAUAGCCUGACUAUUCAUACAAAACUUAAUUGAUCCAAAGAGCUAAAAAAUGUUUGAGUGGUUACAGUAUGACACCGCCUUAAAUCCAGGCAAAUUACAAUACUGAACUCUUGACUAACCAGUCAAAUUACCCUCAGCUAACGACCAUUUCCAUUGCUUCCUCAACUUGGUCUGUUGUUGAAAACGGAUAAUUAAAGCUAUUACAGAUGAACUGUUCACACUCAAAUACCUGAGAGAAUUUUUAAUCUAUACUGGCCAGGGAAUUAGAUUUCAACACACAAUCAACUUGUUGCUAAGUAACAAACAUGAAUGAGUGUAUCUUAUCAGCAACAUGCAAAACUAGAUUCCCUAAUGAAAAUUAGUUAACCUUUGACCCUAUUAUAUUAAUCAUGGAAAUGAAACUUGGGAAAAGUUUAUUUUUAGAUACAAAGUUGAAUUAUCAUAGGAACUGGACUUAUUUUGAUCGACCAAUAACUGUUUGUUUGUAUUUAGGUCACAACAAAAAGUUCAAAAUAUAAUAAAAAUGUUCAGAAAUUGGUACUUUAGUGUAAAACUACAGUACCAUAAAAUAAUUAUUUUAUAAUGAUUUUAAAACUAAGCAUAAAGCUGGGAUUAUGUUGUGUGCCAUUAACAAUUGAGGUAGUGUACUGUACUUUAGCCUGAUUCAGACAAGCUGUAACUAAUCAAACAAUUUGUGUGUCAUUCCAAGUCUGUUUAGAAGUCAGACAAUGCCCUCUAUUUCCUAAGACUAUUCAAACAACUGUCUGUUUACGUCUGACAGAUAAAAUUUAAGUGUGUGCCUAGCUUUAGAAUAAUUUAAUUGACAUUUUAUAUUCAGAAGAAAAUCACUUUAUAAUAAUGAUAAUUUAACACAUUUGUCCGUAAGUGUCGGAAAAGCGCACAAGCAAAUUAAGAACUUUGGUGAGGUCUUUACAAAUGAUACACAAAAUACCACAGUUGAAAAUCAGCUGUGCACUGUGAGCAUGUACACAGAUCCUAGUAAAAUAUCUUGGACAUUUUUUAUGCCCCUGCAAUGUUUCCCUUGCAUAGUAUACGAGUAUUAUACUGUAACGAGGUGCAUGCUAAUCUUACAUAGAUGCACAUUGUAACAUAUGCAUGCUCAUUUUGCCUUACAGUAGCAUGGGUCACAUACUGUUUUUCUUAUGUGAAGUCACAUAAGUAUUAAAAAACACUGAAAAUUAAAUUUUAAAAAUCACCAAAAUUUAUAUUGUAUUAACUUAAAUUAGAGAUACUCUACAGUAAAAAUAAAAUAGAAAACCCUUUAAAAAUUAAUAAAACAUCUAACAGAUCAAAGUUUUAACUAUAUUGUACAAUACAAAGGGUAUAGAAGAAAUGCAAAAUCAAGGUCCACAUUUUAACCUUAUUUGUAAUAAUAUUGACAGGCUGAGUUCUGCUCUGCUAAUUGUCAAAAUGUUUUCAAUUUUUUUCUUAUACACCAGCUAUUCAGCAGCUCAUCUCCAAUACUGAAGUAAAAGUAGGACACUGGAUUUUGGGUUCAAAACUUUCCAACUUUUUUUUUUAACCAUUAUUUUC